CGGGACCGUGCGGGAGGGACUUAUUGAAUUCCAACCGGGCGAGAUUGUUGCUGGUCCCUCGGGGCAUGUGCACGUCUUGUCCACAAACCUCUCAUACCCCUGUGCACUUUUCAUAGGAUAGCUCGCGGCUGUCAACCUCCUCGGUCGAUGACUGCAGCUGUUCUGUGUCAUUUUUAUAAACUUGUUGUCAGUUUUGAAUGUCUAUUUUGUGUAUAUGCACAUUGAAAUACAACUUUCAGCAACGGAUCUCUUGGCUCUCGCAUCGAUGAAGAACGCAGCGAAAUGCGAUAAGUAAUGUGAAUUGCAGAAUUCAGUGAAUCAUCGAAUCUUUGAACGCACCUUGCGCUCCUUGGUAUUCCGAGGAGCAUGCCUGUUUGAGUGUCAUGGUUAUUUCAAUUCCCUCGUUCUCUUUUGAACGGAGUGAUAUUGGACUUGGAGGCAUUUUGCUGGUGAUACCAAGCCAGCUCCUCUCAAAAACAUCAGUGUGAAGGUCACUUUAUGCUCAGUGUGAUAAUUAUCUGCAUUGUGCCGAGUGUUACUAUCUCAUGCUUCGAACCGUCUUCGGACAAUCUGAUCAACAUCUGACCUCAAAUCAGGUAGGACUACCCGCUGAACUUAAGCAUAUCAAUAAGCGGAGGAA
rnacentral:rRNA from 1 species